UACGUAGGGUGCGAGCGUUAAUCGGAAUUACUGGGCGUAAAGCGUGCGCAGGCGGUAAUGUAAGACAGAUGUGAAAUCCCCGGGCUUAACCUGGGACCUGCAUUUGUGACUGCAUUGCUGGAGUGCGGCAGAGGGGGAUGGAAUUCCGCGUGUAGCAGUGAAAUGCGUAGAUAUGCGGAGGAACACCGAUGGCGAAGGCAAUCCCCUGGGCUUGCACUGACGCUCAUGCACGAAAGCGUGGGGAGCAAACAGG
rnacentral:rRNA from 1 species